AUAUAUAUAUAUAUAUAUAACACGUGACCGGCUACCCACACUUCACACACGUACACUUUUUUGGGACUUUGACACUCCUAAUGCUAACACAUAAAAAAAAAGGUCGUGUUGCUUGCACGUAGGUUUAGUGCAGCUUCACGAUUUGGAACCAUGCACUAUCUCUGUCGAACUGACAUCGUUCUCAGCAAAGCAAAAAUACAAACUGUCCAAUUGAAGGAGACACGCCAAGGUAUUGACACGCUGCGCAAACUGGCUUCGAAUAAAAUUUUUGGCACAUCAAAUUCAACUUUCGAUGUCUGGAGCUACAGUAAUAUAUCGCGUCGAUUCACCACUAGACACGGUCCUUUAAGAACAGAAGGAAAAGUGUUUGUCCCGCAGAACAUAUGGCAAAGGCAAACAAUGACGAUGAUGACGACGUUGAUUCUGGAACUGUCUUGAAUGUCGCUUUAGACUUAAUUUGCCUCAUGACAGUGCUCCACCUAAAUGUUCAUGCACGCCUUCUAAUCAGCUUAUUAUCGCAGCUGCCCGCAGAACUCGCCGGCAGUGCUUCACUGCUUUUUACACCAGUGAGCCGGAAUAAACACUGCGCAUGUGUACCAGAAAUCGCUGGCAUGCACACUCAGGUGUACGUGUUAUGAAGUUUCCCAGAGAGACGUAUCAAUCAGAAUGUAAGAAAAGAAAAAAGAAAGACUGGCUGCGAUAAAACAAGCUCACUCCGAUGAGCACUCGCCCAAACCAAGGUCGAUGCCCAAACUCCCGGCUUCUGGAAUCUCUGGGUGUUACGACAGGAAGACCAGACAACGACAAUAUUUGUAACGGCUUUUCGAAUGAGCAACAUGGGCGAGCUUUCGGACGCUGAGGAAAUUCGCAUAACAGUCCCACAAUGCGCGUGCCGACUGCCUGAAGCUCGAUAGCCAUUGCAUUGAAGUCGCAGUAGGGAACGAUGGUGAGCGUGUUGCAGGGGCCAAAUUCAAUAGUCCAUAUCUCGCUUAAAACAGAACUAAAAUUGAUAUAAUGAUUAAACUGGAACGCCAACAAACAGGCCUAUCUAAUGCACCUCGUGUCACAUUUUUUAAUGGGCCACCUCUUUGCGUAAAUCAGGCCUGAAAGUGGGCCAAGACCAAGUUUUGGUAUGUUCGACUUGUUUUUUUCAGGAAAUUCGUACCGAGCAUUGCCUCUCUAUAACUUUCCCUCGUCGCAAGAUAAGGCACCGAGGGAAAGGGUGCGUGCUCUCGCGCAGAGUAGCGAGAAGGGGCGCGGCUGGGGGACUGUCCCUUGCUCGUUCGCUCUGGCUAUUCGAUGGUUUCUACACAAUUUUUUCACCUUCGUGUAUCUGGACUCCCUAUUACUAGCAUGUUUUACUUUACUUUUUUACGAACCCAAAUGCCGCUGCUUUUUCCUCCGCAGACUGUUCUUCAAACUCCCAAGUCAUCUAGGUUUACAUUUAUCGACCUCAAUUAUAUAAUUUGACGCAUGUCACCGGUUCUUUUGUAAUGCAGUGUAGUAAUUAUUUACCGAUAAACAAAUAACGAGACUCUAGUAGGUGCUGCUAAAAUCUAUGACGUCACGGCGAGCUGAUGUGGAAAUAUCGUCGUCACCUGUCUCAUUCUUGCGUCCUUUUAUGGCUUUAGUAAUAUGGCUUAAUAUUCAUAUUUAUAGUCCCUUUAAAAAGCCUCACUACAAACGUAUACAUACUCCGUGGAUCGUUUUAUUGUUCUCCGAGGCUCAAUUUUCAUCGCAUUACAACAUUCCCUUGGAGACCGUUGUUAGACUAAUUAUACCGCCUUAGUUCCUCACGCAAUCUUGAGUUCUCUUUCAUCAGUAAUUUGCCGCCGAGGAACACCGCAACACUAACAAAUGCAACAGACAGAAAGGGGCUGGAAGACACAUAGAUCACAUUACUUUCCAUAAUACAAGCAGGGUUCAGCAACCGAACUUUUACUUUCUGAAAAUGUUGUGCUUUUCUAAUUGCUCUUUUGUUUAGAGGAUUCUCUUUAGAGAAGUUCCCGUGUCUCUUUGAAGAAACAUUAUUCAUAUUUAGACCAUGCAAAUCUUGAACUAAGAAUACUAUCGUGCAAGCCAGUCAAUACUGAGAUUGGGCAAAAAAAAAAUAUUGAUAUUUGCCUGUUUACUACAGGUGUUGCCUUCUUUUAUUACAUAUACCAGUAACAUGUUCAUUCAGAAAUGCUGCAAACUGGCAAUUGGUUCUUUUCAUAGGAGAAAUUCUUCGGGAGCUUUUUGUUGCUGUUUAAAACAUUUCCCUCAUUUUAUCGUUCUAGUGUUUCUUUGUGUUCAAAGAAAUGGAGAUAUUAGGCCAACCA